GAGAAGGUAAUGGGUAUGUCUGUUUUCUCUGAAUUGUUUUACUGAUUCCGGGUUGCUCUUUUUUCUGCAGGGACUAAGAUAAUUGCAGGGAUAAUUCUCCUCUCUGUCUCUGCUACUCUCUUCCUCUCUCCUUCUCUCCGUUGUUCUUUCCCCCCCUGCUUUUUCUCUGCUCUGCUCUGCCUUUUAUAGAGCCAGAGAGCAUGCAGAAACCCGUUCCCCUGUUAAUCAAUCCAUGAGCGGGAUCGUGGGCAAGAGAUCGUGGUGUAGUGGCCUUGAGUUGCUGGAUUUUUCCCUGUUGAAUCGGUCUUCUCCGUGCGAAACGAAAGGGAUGGUGAACGGUGGGAUCAAAACGGCGUCAUUUGGCAUGAAAAAAAUGACAGAUUAUGGAUUGGUCCCUUUCUGUUUGAAAUGUAUCAAUUGGGUCCUUUAAUCAAUAAUUUUUUAAUUUUACUCUCGGAUUAAUUUCAA